GACGUAGGGUGCGAGCGUUGUCCGGAUUUAUUGGGCGUAAAGAGCUCGUAGGCGGUUCGGUAAGUCGGGUGUGAAACCUCCAAGCUCAACCUGGAGACGCCACCCGAUACUGCUGUGACUUGAGUCCGGUAGGGGAGCGUGGAAUUCCUGGUGUAGCGGUGAAAUGCGCAGAUAUCAGGAGGAACACCAGCGGCGAAGGCGGCGCUCUGGGCCGGAACUGACGCUGAGGAGCGAAAGCGUGGGUAGCAAACAGG
rnacentral:rRNA from 1 species